rnacentral:rRNA from 1 species
GACGAACGCUGGCGGCGUGCCUAAUACAUGCAAGUCGAACGCUUCUUUCCUCCCGAGUGCUUGCACUCAAUUGGAAAGAGGAGUGGCGGACGGGUGAGUAACACGUGGGUAACCUACCCAUCAGAGGGGGAUAACACUUGGAAACAGGUGCUAAUACCGCAUAACAGUUUAUGCCGCAUGGCAUAAGAGUGAAAGGCGCUUUCGGGUGUCGCUGAUGGAUGGACCCGCGGUGCAUUAGCUAGUUGGUGAGGUAACGGCUCACCAAGGCCACGAUGCAUAGCCGACCUGAGAGGGUGAUCGGCCACACUGGGACUGAGACACGGCCCAGGCUCCUACGGGAGGCAGCAGUAGGGAAUCUUCGGCAAUGGACGAAAGUCUGACCGAGCAACGCCGCGUGAGUGAAGAAGGUUUUCGGAUCGUAAAACUCUGUUGUUAGAGAAGAACAAGGACGUUAGUAACUGAACGUCCCCUGACGGUAUCUAACCAGAAAGACACGGCUAACUACGUG